rnacentral:rRNA from 1 species
GGGGGGUGAGUAACACUGUGGGCAACCUACCUUAUAGUUUGGGAUAACUCCGGGAAACCGGGGCUAAUACCGAAUAAUCUGUUUCACCUCAUGGUGAAAUAUUGAAAGACGGUUUCGGCUGUCGCUAUAGGAUGGGCCCGCGGCGCAUUAGCUAGUUGGUGAGGUAACGGCUCACCAAGGCGACGAUGCGUAGCCGACCUGAGAGGGUGAUCGGCCACACUGGGACUGAGACACGGCCCAGACUCCUACGGGAGGCAGCAGUAGGGAAUCUUCCACAAUGGGCGAAAGCCUGAUGGAGCAACGCCGCGUGAGUGAAGAAGGAUUUCGGUUCGUAAAACUCUGUUGUAAGGGAAGAACAAGUACAGUACUAACUGGCUGUACCUUGACGGUACCUUAUUAGAAAGCCACGGCUAACUACGUGCCAGCAGCCGCGGUAAUACGUAUGUGGCAAGCGUUGUCCGGAAUUAUUGGGCGUAAAGCGCGGCGCAGGUGGUUUCUUAAGUCUGAUGUGAAAGCCCACGGCUCAACCCGCGCAGGGGCAUUGGAAACUGGGAGACUUGAGUGCAUAAGAGGGAUAGUGGAACUUCCAAGUGUAGCGCUAAAUGCGUAGAGGUUUGGAAGGAACACCCAGUUGCGAAUUCGACUAUCUCCCCUGUUACUGACACUGAGGCACGAAAGCGGCGCGAGCAGACAGGUUAGAUACCCUUGUACUCCACACCUAAACGAUUACCGCUACACGUUAAGGGGGUUUCCUGCCCUUAUUGCUGCACUGACGCAGUAUGCAACUACGCCUUCAGAGUACUGCCGCAAGGACUGUAAACAUCAAACGAAUUAAACGACCGGCCCGCACAACGCUUUGCACGA